rnacentral:rRNA from 1 species
ACGCUCGACACCUACGGGAGCAGCAGUCGGGAAUAUUGCGCAAUGGAGGAAACUCUGACGCAGUGACGCCGCGUAUAGGAAGAAGGUUUUCGGAUUGUAAACUNUUGUCGUUAGGGAAGAAAAAAGCAGUACCUAAGGAGGAAGCUCCGGCUAACUACGUGCCAGCACGCCCGGUAAUCUGAGCGGGCUGGCAAGGC